GACGAACGCUGGCGGCGUGCCUAAUACAUGCAAGUAGAACGCUGAAGAGAGGAGCUUGCUCUUCUUGGAUGAGUUGCGAACGGGUGAGUAACGCGUAGGUAAGCUGCCUUGUAGCGGGGGAUAACUAUUUGAAACGAUAGCUAAUACCGCAUAACAAUGAAUGACACAAGAUCGUUAUUUGAAAGGGGCAAUUGCUGCACUACAAGAUGGACCUGCGUUGUAUUAGCUAGUAGGUGAGGUAAUGGCUCACCUAGGAGACGAUACGUAGCCGACCUGAGAGGGUGCUCGGACUAGCUGGGACGGGGACACGGCCCAGACCACUGCGGGUGGCAGCCGUCGGGAAUCCUCGGCAAUGGGGGCAACGCUGAACGUGCAACGCCGCGGGAGUGCCGGAGGUUGUCGUGUCGUAAAGUUCUGUUGUGCGUCAGGAUCGGGUGUGAGAGUGGAGAGUUCACACUGUGACGGUAGCUUAACAGAAAGGCACGGCUAACUACGUG
rnacentral:rRNA from 1 species